rnacentral:rRNA from 1 species
UACGGAGGGUGCAAGCGUUAUCCGGAUUUACUGGGUUUAAAGGGUGCGCAGGCGGAUAUGUAAGUCAGUGGUGAAAUCUCUAGGCUUAACCUGGAAAUUGCCGUUGAUACUAUAUAUCUUGAAUGCUGUGGAGGUAAGCGGAAUAUGUCAUGUAGCGGUGAAAUGCUUAGAUAUGACAUAGAACACCAAUUGCGAAGGCAGCUCACUACGGAUAUAUUGACACUGAGGCACGAAAGCGUGGGGAUCAAACAGG